UACGGAGGGUGCGAGCGUUGUCCGGAAUCACUGGGCGUAAAGGGCGCGUAGGCGGCCGUGUAAGUCACUUGUGAAAUCCCGGGGCUCAACUCCGGGGCCGCAGGUGAGACUGCGUGGCUAGAGCACGGUAGAGGCGAGUGGAAUUCCCGGUGUAGCGGUGGAAUGCGUAGAUAUCGGGAAGAACACCGGUGGCGAAGGCGGCUCGCUGGGCCGUUGCUGACGCUGAGGCGCGAAAGCGUGGGGAGCGAACAGG
rnacentral:rRNA from 1 species